rnacentral:rRNA from 1 species
UGGGGAAUUUUGGACAAUGGGCGAAAGCCUGAUCCAGCAAUGCCGCGUGUGUGAAGAAGGCCUUCGGGUUGUAAAGCACUUUUGUCCGGAAAGAAAUCCUUGGCUCUAAUACAGUCGGGGGAUGACGGUACCGGAAGAAUAAGCACCGGCUAACUACGUGCCAGCAGCCGCGGUAAUACGUAGGGUGCAAGCGUUAAUCGGAAUUACUGGGCGUAAAGCGUGCGCAGGCGGUUUGCUAAGACCGAUGUGAAAUCCCCGGGCUCAACCUGGGAACUGCAUUGGGUGACUGGCAGGCUAGAGUAUGGCAGAGGGGGGUAGAAUUCCACGUGUAGCAGUGAAAUGCGUAGAGAUGUGGAGGAAUACCGAUGGCGAAGGCAGCCCCCUGGGCCAAUACUGACGCUCAUGCACGAAAGCGUGGGGAGCAAACAGGAUUAGAUACCCCUGGUAGUCCACGCCCUAAAACGAUGUCAACUAGUUGUUGGGGAUUCAUUUCCUUAGUAACGUAGCUAACGCGUGAAGUUGACCGCCUGGGGAGUACGGUCGCAAGAUUAAAACUCAAAGGAAUUG